CUAAACACUACUACCACAACCACACCAGACUAUACACUACUACCACAACCACACCAGGUUAUACACUACUACCACACCAGACUAUACACUACUACCACACCAGACUAUACACUACUACCACACCACACAACUACCACAACCACACCAGACUAUACACUACUACCACAACCACACCAGACUAUACACUACUACCACAACCACACCAGACUAUACACUACUACCACAACCACACCAGACUAUAUAAUACUACCACAACCACACCAGACUAUACACUACUACCACAACCACACCAGACUAUACACUACUACCGCAACCACACCAGACUAUACACUACUACCGCAACCACACCAGACUAUACACUACUACCACAACCACACCAGACUAUAUAAUACUACCACAACCACACCAGACUAUACACUACUACCGCAACCACACCAGACUAUACACUAAUACCGCAACCACACCAGACUAUACACUACUACCGCAACCACACCAGGCUACACAUUACUAC
rnacentral:lncRNA from 1 species